rnacentral:rRNA from 1 species
GACGAACGCUGGCGGCGUGCCUAACACAUGCAAGUCGAGCGAGUGAAUCUCCUUCGGGAGUGAAGCUAGCGGCGGACGGGUGAGUAACACGUGGGCAACCUGCCUCAUAGAGGGGAAUAGCCUUUCGAAAGGAAGAUUAAUACCGCAUAAGAUUGUAGCUUCGCAUGAAGUAGCAAUUAAAGGAGCAAUCCGCUAUGAGAUGGGCCCGCGGCGCAUUAGCUAGUUGGUGAGGUAACGGCUCACCAAGGCGACGAUGCGUAGCCGACCUGAGAGGGUGAUCGGCCACAUUGGGACUGAGACACGGCCCAGACUCCUACGGGAGGCAGCAGUGGGGAAUAUUGCACAAUGGGGGAAACCCUGAUGCAGCAACGCCGCGUGAGUGAUGACGGCCUUCGGGUUGUAAAGCUCUGUCUUCAGGGACGAUAAUGACGGUACCUGAGGAGGAAGCCACGGCU